CCUCUCUCAGGGUCACACCUGGAGAGUUUUCAGUACUCUACCAGUCUCGACUAUGGGAGGGAGAGUCAUGCAGAGGCCUACCCAUUCCAUUCCUAGUUUGGGCAGUGGCUGGAGUGUGGAAGCCAUUCUGCUACAAGU